rnacentral:rRNA from 1 species
GAUGAACGCUAGCUACAGGCUUAACACAUGCAAGUCGAGGGACCGGCGCACGGGUGAGUAACACGUAUCCAACCUGCCCUUUACUCGGGGAUAGCCUUUCGAAAGAAAGAUUAAUACCCGAUAUAAAGGAUGGGGAUGCGUUCCAUUAGGUUGUUGGUGAGGUAACGGCUCACCAAGCCUUCGAUGGAUAGGGGUUCUGAGAGGAAGUCCCCCCAGAUCGGAAUUGCGGCCCGGUCCAAAAUGCGACGGGGGGCUGCAGUGAGUAAGAUUGGUCAAUGGGCGCUAGCCUGAACCAGCCAAGUAGCGUGAAGGAUGAAGGCGUAUGGGUGGUAAACUUCUUUUAUAUAAGAAUAUGUAUUAUAUGAAUAAGGAUCGGCUAACUCCGUGCCAGCAGCCGCGGUAAUUC